rnacentral:rRNA from 1 species
GACGAACCGUGCAAACGUUAUUCGGAAUCACUGGGCAUAAAGGGCGCGUAGGCGGCUUCAUAAGUCAGGGGUGAAAUCCGGCAGCUUAACUGUCGCAGUGCCUUUGAUACUGUGGAGCUCGAGGGAGGUAGGGGUCUGUGGAACUUCCGGUGGAGCGGUGAAAUGCGUUGAUAUCGGAAGGAACGCCGGUGGCGAAAGCGACGGACUGGAUCUCUUCUGACGCUGAGGCGCGAAAGCCAGGGGAGCAA